rnacentral:rRNA from 1 species
AACGAACGCUGGCGGCAUGCCUAACACAUGCAAGUCGAACGAAGUCUUCGGACUUAGUGGCGCACGGGUGCGUAACGCGUGGGAAUCUGCCCUUGGGUGCGGAAUAACUUCUCGAAAGGGAUGCUAAUACCGCAUAAUGUCGUAAGACCAAAGAUUUAUCGCCCAAGGAUGAGCCCGCGUAAGAUUAGCUAGUCGGUGGGUAAAAGCCUACCAAGGCGACGAUCUUUAGCUGGUCUGAGAGGAUGAUCAGCCACACUGGGACUGAGACACGGCCCAGACUCCUACGGGAGGCAGCAGUGGGGAAUAUUGGACAAUGGGCGAAAGCCUGAUCCAGCAAUGCCGCGUGAGUGAUGAAGGCCCUAGGGUUGUAAAGCUCUUUUACCAGGGAUGAUAAUGACAGUACCGGGAGAAUAAGCUCCGGCUAACUCCGUGCCAGCAGCCGCGGUAAU